rnacentral:misc_RNA from 1 species
AAACAAAAAAAAAAAAAAAAAAAUUACAGACUAUUUACAUGAAUUCAACCACUUCAGGCCUAAAGCUCAAAUUUUGGAAUCAACCUCUAUAGGUCUGAAAGCAAAACCUGAAGCGGUUCUGGACUACAGUUCAGAGAUUUGACAAGAUUCACAGGAUCCAACAGAUAUGAACACCGACACCAAACCCUUUGAUGAACCUGGAAGCUCAUGGAAAAGAGAUUUUUAUGGCAAGGACAUCGAUUUUGAUGACUCAGAUUAUUACAAUAAUAAUUUGGGUCCCAGUCAGAAUUCCUUCUAGAAAAGAACUCUUCAAAAUAGAACCAAAAGACACCCGGAAAAUCCAAAAUGAACCCUGUAGACUAUUUUGGCAAAAGCUUCGCAGUAUGCAACCCGUGAUAGAUGCCCUCAGUAGACUGUCUCUCUGAAGCUGAAAAAAUAUGUAUCUGUGUAAUUAAUUUUAGUCAGAUAAGUUCUCUGUAUAAUUAAUCUUAGUCAAAUGAGUCAUUUGUCUUUAUGCAUGACUUAGUUAAGCAUAAGUCAUGUACCUACCUAACUAGUUCUUAUCUUGUUAGAUGUCUCCACCUAACUAUUAGGUAGACAUGUGUCUGUAUAAAAAGUUGUUGUAAUAGUUUCAGCUCUCCUCUUAUAAAAAGGGAGCUUAGGUUUCAUUUGGAGCAAGAGUUACCAAGCAAUAACAUUUCAACUUUCUUAUCUUAUCUUAUGGCUUUUUAAAUUUCUCUCCCUCUCCUGAAAGUCAAGAAUUCUAUCUUAUUUCAUAUCAUCCUCUACUUAGGCAUGAUUAUGCUCUACAAUUGUCACUCUUAGUGGAUCCUGUGUAUCAGAAAAUGCUAGUUCAUUGAUUCUUUGCUACGGUCCUCUAAAUCUAGUUCUGUAUAAUAAUACAAAAGGGUGAAGCUUUGAAAUUUGUUUAGCCAUAGUGGCUUAUUGUAUCUCAGCACCGCAUGAGUAUUAUUAUGCUUAACUCAGGUUUAGGGGCUCCCGGCCAGCAAUGGUAUGAAAGCUUAGAUUUCUGUCCAAGAGAGGGAUAUGAAUGAGGUUUAAUUUGAGAGGCAAAUAGUACUUUUUUUUAAAUACACUAAACUUUAAUACAUCAAAACUAUGGGUAAAAUUUUAAUUUUCAAAACUUUUGGCCCCUUCAACCCUCUAUGUAGUCCAUCCGUCUGCCAGUGUGGGCUGUGUUUUAUUUUGAUCUUGAGGUGUUUCUGUCCCAUUGUCUCAGUUUCUCUAUCACAUGUGCAUGUUCACACAUGGAGAAUACACAUGUUCUAGUUCAUUCGUGUCAAAAACUUUGAAACAUUGCUUCUUUUGGUUGCAGGCAGAAAAGAUAGCAUCAAGAA